rnacentral:rRNA from 1 species
UACGUAGGGUGCGAGCGUUGUCCGGAAUUACUGGGCGUAAAGAGCUCGUAGGUGGUUUGUCGCGUUGUUCGUGAAAACCGGGGGCUUAACCCUCGGCGUGCGGGCGAUACGGGCAGACUUGAGUACUGCAGGGGAGACUGGAAUUCCUGGUGUAGCGGUGAAAUGCGCAGAUAUCAGGAGGAACACCAGUGGCGAAGGCGCCGCUCUGGGCCGUAACUGACGCUGAGAAACGAAAGCGUGGGGAGCAAACAGG